AUUGAACGCAGGCGACAUGCCUUACACAAGCAAUGAAACGGCAGCACGAGCAGCAAUCCUGGUGGCGAGUGGAGAACGGGUUAGUAAUACAUCGCAACGUGCCCAGUUAUGGGGGAUAACGCAGUGAAAGCUGUGCUAAUACCGCGUAAUAUCUAGGGAUGAAAGCAGGGGAUCGCAAGACCUUGCGCGAAUGGAGCGGCCGAUGGCGGAUUAGGUAGUUGGUGAGGUAAAGGCUCACCAAGCCGUCGAUCUGUAGCUGGUCUGAGAGGACGACCAGCCACACUGGGACUGAGACACGGCCCAGACUCCUACGGGAGGCAGCAGUGGGGAAUUUUGGACAAUGGGCGAAAGCCUGAUCCAGCCAUGCCGCGUGCAGGAAGAAGGCCUUCGGGUUGUAAAAUUCUUUUGUACGGAACGAACCGGCCUUUUCUUAUAAAGUGGUCUAAUGACGGUACUGUAAGAAUAAGCCCCGGCUAACUACGUGCCAGCAGCCGCGGUAAUACGUAGGGGGCAAGCGUUAUCCGGAUUUAUUGGGUGUAAAGGGAGCGCAGACGGCAAUGCAAGUCUGAAGUGAAAGGCGUGGGCUCAACCCGUGAAGUUCUUUGGAAACUGUAUAGCUUGAGUGUAGGAGGGGUAAGCGGAAUUCCUAGUGUAGCGGUGAAAUGCGUAGAUAUUAGGAGGAACACCGGAGGCGAAGGCGGCUUUCUGGUCGACAACUGACGUUGAGGCUCGAAGGCGUGGGGAGCAAACAGG
rnacentral:rRNA from 1 species